AGUGUGUGUGUUAGUGGAAGCGUCUGGAAAAGCGUGCGAUACAGGGUGACAGCCCCGUACACAAAAAUGCACAUACUGUGAGCUCAAUGAGUAGGGCGGGACACGUGGUAUCCUGUCUGAAUAUGGGGGGACCAUCCUCCAAGGCUAAAUACUCCUGACUGACCGAUAGUGAACCAGUACCGUGAGGGAAAGGCGAAAAGAACCCCGGCGAGGGGAGUGAAAAAGAACCUGAAACCGUGUACGUACAAGCAGUGGGAGCACGCUUAGGCGUGUGACUGCGUACCUUUUGUAUAAUGGGUCAGCGACUUAUAUUCUGUAGCAAGGUUAACCGAAUAGGGGAGCCGAAGGGAAACCGAGUCUUAACUGGGCGUUAAGUUGCAGGGUAUAGACCCGAAACCCGGUGAUCUAGCCAUGGGCAGGUUGAAGGUUGGGUAACACUAACUGGAGGACCGAACCGACUAAUGUUGAAAAAUUAGCGGAUGACUUGUGGCUGGGGGUGAAAGGCCAAUCAAACCGGGAGAUAGCUGGUUCUCCCCGAAAGCUAUUUAGGUAGCGCCUCGUGAAUUCAUCUCCGGGGGUAGAGCACUGUUUCGGCAAGGGGGUCAUCCCGACUUACCAACCCGAUGCAAACUGCGAAUACCGGAGAAUGUUAUCACGGGAGACACACGGCGGGUGCUAACGUCCGUCGUGAAGAGGGAAACAACCCAGACCGCCAGCUAAGGUCCCAAAGUCAUGGUUAAGUGGGAAACGAUGUGGGAAGGCCCAGACAGCCAGGAUGUUGGCUUAGAAGCAGCCAUCAUUUAAAGAAAGCGUAAUAGCUCACUGGUCGAGUCGGCCUGCGCGGAAGAUGUAACGGGGCUAAACCAUGCACCGAAGCU
rnacentral:rRNA from 1 species